UGUUAUCAGCGCUCUUCUCAUCCUAAUCCAAAACAUAGCACCCUACCAGCUACUAUGAGCUACUUAACUCUGUCCUAACUGGAACCAGGACACCCCUGCUAUCAAAACCUUGCUAUGUAAACACAAUACAUGACCAGCAGUCAAACACAGCAUAUAUGCACAACAGCAGAAGAACAAACUAGUAACAUGAUGAAAAAAAAAUAAAAAAAUUCAUAAGCUAUUCUACAUGGAAAAAUUAGGUUUGUCACCUAGUUUUUACUGUAUGGUUUCUAGACAGUAAAUGAAAAUUUUAAGUUUAGCAAAUGUAAUGUCAUUUUUUUCAAUGUUUUGUCAGCUUGAAUUAGUUUUUCACAUCUCUCUUUUUCAUGAUGUUGUUACAAGCAUUCAUUCUGUCAUACUAUCUUGAAAUAUCAUCGUUCUGGUACUUUCCAAGAUGGCAUAUUUGGCAAAAUAAGAUAAUUUUUAAAAGCUGCCAAAAACAGAAUGAAAUCUAUUAUUUCUAUUAAAUCAGAUGACCAUUCUUCCAUGUUGCACUGCUCUAUGUUGUAAUCUGUAGAACUGCUGCACUUUUGAUUGUCACAAGAUUUAUGAUCCAGAUCUUUCAAGAUUAUAGAAAGAACCUGACACACAGGUGAUUUUAAUUUUAACAAAAACUGAGUGGGAACAAGGUUUGGGUCAACAGCUGUGAAGAAUAUCAGAAGAAUCUAUAAAAACUGACAUAGACAACUCUAUAAUGAUGGUCUACAAAGAAGAUAUAAACUUACUUUGAAUAGUUGAUAGAAGAUCAGAGCAAUUUUCUGCAUUUUUUUUUCCUUUGUCUUAACUCAGUUUUCUUUUCAUAACAUAUACAGCUACUGAUACUUGUCUAAAAAUGAAUAGAAAAAAAGUCAUUCUAAAUGCCAAACCAAAAGUAUGAAAUUUACUUGAUGGAUAUUUACAUAUUGUGCCAAUCUUCAAAGUCUGAAGGUAACUGCAGUACAAACACCACAGUUUAUUAUAAUAGACCCAACCAUCUGCUGUUAUACACAAGCACAGGUGCUUCAGAUAAGGUAAAUUGCACUCACCAGGUUCCUAGGGAGUUCAGAGACACCAUGUACCGAUCUGUGGCAAUGAUCUUUGAAUGAAAUCUGAGUGUCACUGAAAUGUAUCAUGAAAUUCUGUCUGACUCCAGCAGGGCAAUGAUUUGCACAUCUCUGGGAUUCCCUUUCAUUUUAUGCCUUGCCAUUGAAUCCACUGAUAUGAGGGUUUCUUUGUUGUUGUUGCUGUUUAUUAUUUGCUUAUGGAAGGACAUUAUGUCCACUUAAAUGAAAGUUUUUAGGCUUCCUGAUCUUUGGAAGUAUAUGCCUAGGGCUCAGAUGCAGAUGCAGAAGAAAUAGCGAGGCUGAGUACAACCAUAUACCCAAACUGGCUGUACUGUUCCUAUCUGCAGUCUCCCAGUGCAUGCACAGGUCACCUGCCCAUGUCAAAGCUAAACUCCAUUCUGCUUCAAUUUCCAAAGUUAUUUUUAAUAAAGAUAGUUUAAGUUCCUUUAUUUGCA
rnacentral:lncRNA from 1 species